AGUGCAUGUGGUGGAUGCCUUGGCGAUCACAGGCGAUGAAGGACGUAGUAGCCUGCGAAAAGCUGCGGGGAGCUGGCAAACAAGCUUUGAUCCGCAGAUAUCCGAAUGGGGAAACCCGGCCCGAAUGGGUCAUCCCUGACUGAAUACAUAGGUCAGGGAAGCGAACGCAGUGAACUGAAACAUCUAAGUAGCUGCAGGAACAGAAAUCAACCGAGAUUCCCAAAGUAGUGGCGAGCGAAAUGGGAUCAGCCUUGUACUCUUUAGCAGUAUUGUUAGCGGAACGGAAUGGAAAGUCCGGCCAUAGCGGGUGAUAGCCCCGUACGCGAAAGCAGUAUUGUGGAACUAGGUGUACGACAAGUAGGGCGGGACACGUGAAAUCCUGUCUGAAGAUGGGGGGACCAUCCUCCAAGGCUAAAUACUCGUGAUCGACCGAUAGUGAACCAGUACCGUGAGGGAAAGGCGAAAAGAACCCCGGGAGGGGAGUGAAAUAGAUCCUGAAACCGCAUGCAUACAAACAGUCGGAGCCUGGAAACGGGUGACGGCGUACCUUUUGUAUAAUGGGUCAGCGACUUACAUUCAGUGGCAAGCUUAACCGAUUAGGGAAGGCGUAGCGAAAGCGAGUCCGAAUAGGGCGUUCAGUCGCUGGGUGUAGACCCGAAACCAAGUGAUCUAUCCAUGGCCAGGUUGAAGGUGCGGUAACACGUACUGGAGGACCGAACCCACUAACGUUGAAAAGUUAGGGGAUGAGCUGUGGAUAGGGGUGAAAGGCUAAACAAACUUGGAAAUAGCUGGUUCUCUCCGAAAACUAUUUAGGUAGUGCCUCGUGUCUCACCUUCGGGGGUAGAGCACUGUCAUGGUUGGGGGGUCUAUUGCUGAUUACCCCGCCAUAGCAAACUCCGAAUACCGAAGAGUGCAAUCACGGGAGACAGACAUCGGGUGCUAACGUCCGGUGUCAAGAGGGAAACAACCCAGACCGCCAGCUAAGGUCCCUAAGAUUGGCUAAGUGGGAAACGAAGUGGGAAGGCUAAAACAGUCAGGAGGUUGGCUUAGAAGCAGCCACCCUUUAAAGAAAGCGUAAUAGCUCACUGAUCGAGUCGUCCUGCGCGGAAGAUGUAACGGGGCUAAGCCAGUCACCGAAGCUGCGGAUGCACGUAAGUGCAUGGUAGGAGAGCGUUCUGUAAGCCUGUGAAGGUGUCUUGUAAAGGAUGCUGGAGGUAUCAGAAGUGCGAAUGCUGACAUGAGUAGCGAUAAAGGGGGUGAAAGGCCCCCUCGCCGUAAGCCCAAGGUUUCCUACGCAACGUUCAUCGGCGUAGGGUGAGUCGGCCCCUAAGGCGAGGCAGAGAUGCGUAGCUGAUGGGAAGCAGGUUAAUAUUCCUGCACCGUCGUAUGAUGCGAUGGGGGGACGGAUCGCGGAAGGUUGUCCGGGUGUUGGAUGUCCCGGUCCCUGCAUUGGAGAUGGCACUUAGGCAAAUCCGGGUGCGUGAUUCAAGGGUGUGGGGCGAGCGACUUUAGGUCGCGAAGCAAUUGGAAGUGGUUCCAAGAAAAGCCUCUAAGCUUCAGUCAUACGAGACCGUACCGCAAACCGACACAGGUGGGCGAGAUGAGUAUUCUAAGGCGCUUGAGAGAACUCGGGAGAAGGAACUCGGCAAAUUGGUACCGUAACUUCGGGAUAAGGUACGCCCUUGUAGUUUGACUAGCUCGCGCUAGAAGGAUGAAGGGGUUGCAAUAAAAUGGUGGCUGCGACUGUUUAAUAAAAACACAGCACUCUGCAAACACGAAAGUGGACGUAUAGGGUGUGACGCCUGCCCGGUGCCGGAAGAUUAAAUGAUGGGGUGCAAGCUCUUGAUUGAAGUCCCGGUAAACGGCGGCCGUAACUAUAACGGUCCUAAGGUAGCGAAAUUCCUUGUCGGGUAAGUUCCGACCUGCACGAAUGGCGUAACGAUGGCCACACUGUCUCCUCCCGAGACUCAGCGAAGUUGAAGUGUUUGUGAUGAUGCAAUCUCCCCGCGGCUAGACGGAAAGACCCCAUGAACCUUUACUGUAGCUUUGCAUUGGACUUUGAACCGAUCUGUGUAGGAUAGGUGGGAGGCUUUGAAACCGGGACGCUAGUUUCGGUGGAGCCGUCCUUGAAAUACCACCCUGGUUUGUUUGAGGUUCUAACCUUGGCCCGUGAAUCCGGGUCGGGGACAGUGCAUGGUAGGCAGUUUGACUGGGGCGGUCUCCUCCCAAAGUGUAACGGAGGAGUUCGAAGGUACGCUUGGUACGGUCGGACAUCGUACCUAAAGUGCAAUGGCAAAAGCGUGCUUAACUGCGAGACCGACAAGUCGAGCAGGUGCGAAAGCAGGACAUAGUGAUCCGGUGGUUCUGUAUGGAAGGGCCAUCGCUCAACGGAUAAAAGGUACUCUGGGGAUAACAGGCUGAUACCGCCCAAGAGUUCAUAUCGACGGCGGUGUUUGGCACCUCGAUGUCGGCUCAUCUCAUCCUGGGGCUGUAGCCGGUCCCAAGGGUAUGGCUGUUCGCCAUUUAAAGAGGUACGUGAGCUGGGUUUAAAACGUCGUGAGACAGUUUGGUCCCUAUCUGCCGUGGGCGUUGGAAUCUUGACGGGGGCUGCUCCUAGUACGAGAGGACCGGAGUGGACGUACCGCUGGUGUACCUGUUGUCUCGCCAGAGGCAUCGCAGGGUAGCUAUGUACGGAAGAGAUAACCGCUGAAAGCAUCUAAGCGGGAAACUUGCCUGAAGAUGAGGAUUCCCUGGAGACUUGAUCUCCCUGAAGGGUCGUUCGAGACCAGGACGUUGAUAGGCUGGGUGUGGAAGCGCAGUAAUGCGUUCAGCUAACCAGUACUAAUUGCCCGUGCGGCUUGAUC
rnacentral:rRNA from 1 species